rnacentral:rRNA from 1 species
UGAGGGAAUAUUUGGGGUCAAUGGGCGAGAGCCUGAACCAGCCAAGUAGCGUGCAGGACGACGGCCCUAUGGGUUGUAAACUGCUUUUAUAUGGGGAUAAAGUGAGUUACGUGUAGCUUAAUGCAGGUACCGCAUGAAUAAGGACCGGCUAAUUCCGUGCCAGCAGCCGCGGUAAUACGGAAGGUCCGGGCGUUAUCCGGAUUUAUUGGGUUUAAAGGGAGCGCAGGCCGGGUAUUAAGCGUGUUGUGAAAUGUAGGCGCCCAACGUCUGCACCGCAGCGCGAACUGGUGCCCUUGAGUACGCACGACGUUGGCGGAAUUCGCCGUGUAGCGGUGAAAUGCUUAGAUAUGGCGAAGAACUCCGAUUGCGAAGGCAGCUGACGGGAGCGCUACUGACGCUCAUGCUCGAAAGCGCGGGUAUCGAACAGGAUUAGAUACCCUGGUAGU